GACGAACGCUGGCGGCGUGCCUAAUACAUGCAAGUAGAACGCACAGUUUAUACCGUAGCUUGCUACACCAUAGACUGUGAGUUGCGAACGGGUGAGUAACGCGUAGGUAACCUGCCUGGUAGCGGGGGAUAACUAUUGGAAACGAUAGCUAAUACCGCAUAAUAUUAAUUAUUGCAUGAUAAUUAAUUGAAAGGUGCAAUUGCACCACUACCAGAUGGACCUGCGUUGUAUUAGCUAGUAGGUGAGGUAACGGCUCACCUAGGCGACGAUACAUAGCCGACCUGAGAGGGUGAUCGGCCACACUGGGACUGAGACACGGCCCAGACUCCUACGGGAGGCAGCAGUAGGGAAUCUUCGGAAAUGGACGAAAGUCUGACCGAGCAACGCCGCGUGAGUGAAGAAGGUUUUCGGAUCGUAAAGCUCUGUUGUAAGGGAAGAAAGGGUGUGAGAGUGGAAAGUUCACACUGUGACGGUAUCUUACCAGAAAGGGACGGCUAACUACGUG
rnacentral:rRNA from 1 species